GGAGAGGUACCCAAGCGGCCAAAGGGGACGGGCUGUAAACCCGUUGGCGUUAGCCUUCGAUGGUUCGAAUCCAUCCCUCUCCA
rnacentral:tRNA from 1 species